ACGACCGUACCGCAAACCGACACUGGUGCGCGAGAUGAGUAUUCUAAGGCGCUUGAGAGAACUCAGGAGAAGGAACUCGGCAAAUUGACACCGUAACUUCGGAAGAAGGUGUGCCUUUAGUAGGUGAACCUGUACAAGGGGAGCCCAAUGAGGUUGCAAAAAAUCGGUGGCUGCGACUGUUUAAUAAAAACACAGCACUCUGCAAACACGAAAGUGGACGUAUAGGGUGUGACGCCUGCCCGGUGCUGGAAGAUUAAAUGAUGGGGUGCAAGCUCUUGAUUGAAGUCCCAGUAAACGGCGGCCGUAACAAUAACGGUCCUAAGGUAGCGAAAUUCCUUGUCGGGUAAGUUCCGACCUGCACGAAUGGCGUAACGAUGGCCACACUGUCUCCUCCUGAGACUCAGCGAAGUUGAAAUGUUGAUGAUGCAAUCUCCCCGCGGAAAGACGGAAAGACCCCAUGAACCUUUACUGUAGCUUUGUAUUGGACUUUGAACAGAUCUGUGUAGGAUAGGUGGGAGGCUUUGAAGUGUGGUCGCUAGAUCGCAUGGAGCCAACGUUGAAAUACCACCCUGGUGUGUUUGAGGUUCUAACCUAGGCCCGUAAUCCGGGUCGGGGACAGUGCAUGGUAGGCAGUUUGACUGGGGCGGUCUCCUCCCAAAGCGUAACGGAGGAGUUCGAAGGUACGCUAGGUACGGUCGGACAUCGUGCUAAUAGUGCAAUGGCAUAAGCGUGCUUAACUGCGAGACUGACAAGUCGAGCAGAUGCGAAAGCAGGACAUAGUGAUCCGGUGGUUCUGUAUGGAAGGGCCAUCGCUCAACGGAUAAAAGGUACUCUGGGGAUAACAGGCUGAUACCGCCCAAGAGUUCAUAUCGACGGCGGUGUUUGGCACCUCGAUGUCGGCUCAUCUCAUCCUGGGGCUGUAGCCGGUCCCAAGGGUAUGGCUGUUCGCCAUUUAAAGAGGUACGUGAGCUGGGUUUAAAACGUCGUGAGACAGUUUGGUCCCUAUCUUCCGUGGGCGCUGCAGAUUUGAGGAAGCCUGCUCCUAGUACGAGAGGACCGGAGUGGACACACCUCUGGUGUAUCGGUUGUCACGCCAGUGGCAUUGCCGAGUAGCUAUGUGUGGAAGAGAUAACCGCUGAAAGCAUCUAAGCGGGAAACUCGUUUCAAGAUGAGAUCUGCCGGGGCCUUGAGCCCCCUAAAGAGUCGUUCAAGACCAGGACGUUGAUAGGUCGGGUGUGGAAGCGCAGUAAUGCGUUAAGCUAACCGAUACUAAUUGCUCGUGCGGCUUGACC
rnacentral:rRNA from 1 species